UUAUUUUUUUAUCUUAUUAUCUUAUUUUUAAAUGUAAUUAUUGCAUUAUUCAAUUUUUAUAUUAAUAUAACUGUACAAGCCCAUUUUUGCCCGGGCCCGCACCAAUAAACCAAACCCAAAACCAAACCACCUAAACCUAACCCAUUAAACCCAAACCUCAGCCCAAUUAAAAACUUAGCCCAAUAAAACCCAGUACCCAAAAUAAAACCCAAAACCCAUUUACAAAAAUAGGCCCAAACAUGGCCCAGACCCAAUGAAAACUAGGGUCUCAGAACCCUAGUCUCUUCCACCGCCCUAGCGCCGUACCCCCACUUGCUGCUGCUAUCGCUGUUCGUCAUGUCCCGUCCGUACUUACUCCUUGCGCUCUGUCACCUACUCCUCCGCGCCGCACGCCUUUUGCCCACCUGCUCCAGUGCCACCUGCAAAAUAAAGAGAGCACGCAACAGACAGAAGGGUAGAAACAAAUCGCAACAGCAAGUACAACGGCAGUUGAAAUAAAAAAAGUGUUGUAGUUGGCUAUAAAUGCCGAAACCAAAGACAUGUAAAGGGGUCGGCCCCUUUUUAUGAAUAUUAGAAAAUAAAAAAAGAGACUUUUAAAAGGAUUCAAAAAAAAUCUUAAGGUGACUAUUGCUUUUUUUAGAUCUGUUAGUUUGUUUCAUUUUAAUCUUGUUUGCGCUUCUAAAUAAAAAAUAAGAGUAAGGGAAAGGAGAAUCCUUACCUGUGCCGUGCCAGAGGAGGAUAAACCGAACGGUUUCCCUCCGUUUCUAGGGCUCACAGCCACCUUUCACGGGAUUCAGCCUUGAAUCCGUGUUCUAGAGGCUACGGGCUUCAAAGAGGAAUCGGAAAGGCUUGAUUUUGUGCCUCCGGCCGCCGUUCUCGGUGGCUCUACGACGGAGGCGCGUUGGAGCCGAGGCCGGACUGAGGAGAGGGGUUGAGAGAGAAUGAAGUUUUUUUUUUGGAAAAAGAAGGGAAAUGAAAUUUUUUCUGAAAAU
rnacentral:lncRNA from 1 species